UCGGAGACGGCUACCUACAUUUUUAUGACUAUAUGAUGGAUAAAUCCACAAUCUAUAAUCAUUGACUUGUUAAGUGUCAUUUAAAGGGGUCACGUGGGGUUUUCAUUUCAUUUUGUAUUUUUCUUUUUUCGUUUAUUUUUAUUGUUUUGUUCAUAACCCUAGUAUGUUCUUUACACUUUAGCAGUCCUUUAUUCUGUAUCCUAUUAUCUUCAAUCAAUCUCCAAGCCAUUUUCUCUAUUGUUCUCUAUUAUGACCCCAAUUAAUGAUUACUCACAUAUUUCAGUACUUCCUAACUUAAGUAAGUCAAUAUAUCUCUUUUCAAAUUGUUAAAGGACUGGCAAAGAGUUGACAUUUUCAAUAUUUUAUUUUAUGUCAAAUAUUUUGUUUCCGUUGAGAUAAACAUGAAAAUUAUUAAUGCCAAUUUGAUCUCGCCUUGACUAUAUCUAUACUAUUCGCCACUGAACGUUGUACAUUACACAAUAAAUCAAUUGAUUUCAAAUUGAUAUCUGUUUACAGCAUAUAUAAUAUACUUAAAGGAUAUAUGAUGCAAUUUCCAACCUGAUAACAAAUCGAAGAAGCUUUCAAAUAUUUAUUAUUCUUUACUAUACCAUAACAUCAUUACCGAUAAUUUCUAUUGGAAACUAAUGUGCCGUUUUGUUAAUAAGCUUCCAUGUUUGAGCAUGCUCCGUUGAGCUUGACCUUGUUUGCGCAUGCUCCGUUGAGCUUGACCUUCCCUAUCAUUUGUCUUACAAUGUCUCCCUGUGAUUUUCCAAAGCAUGAAGUUAUUUCUAUAUAUGUAUUAUGAAUAACCCAGCUUCUAAAUUACAAUAAAUCUAUAGAAGCACUCAGCGGGGGAAAUUAUAACGGAGGUCUUUAUAUUAUUGACAAUGCAACGGAAUAAAUUUCACGGAAACAAACCUUUUCACCUCCGUAUAUGUAAUCAAUUAUAGAAACUUAAAAU
rnacentral:lncRNA from 1 species